rnacentral:rRNA from 1 species
AUGCUCGGCACGAAGCUGUGGCCUGCGGUCAUCAUGUCGGCGCUGCCCAGCUUUCCUCUCCUCCGGCUCGCCAGCUUGAUUGCCAUGCUGGCGCAACAAGCUCGCUUGCUCCCGGUGGCUGUGGCGCGGACCAAUCUGACCGCGGGGGGCACCUUGAUGCCACCCGACUACAUCACCAGUCCGUCCGGCGACUUUGCCUUUGGCUUCCGCGCCCACGACUCCGAUCCGACCAAGUUCCUCCUCGCCACAUGGUUCCGCUUCGGUGAAGGCAACUCUUCCCCACAGUCGGUGGUGUGGUUUGCGAAAGCGUCCUCCAUGGGCGCCACACCCAACGCCACGGCGCGGUCCGUCCUCAGCAUCCCGGCCGACGGCCAGCUCACGCUCACCGACGGCAGCAUAGAGCUGUGGAAGGCCCCGACCCCCAGCAUGAAGCGUGGAUUCGUCCUCGUGCUAAGAGACUCCGGCAACGUCCAGUUCCUCGGAGAUGGUGGUGUGCUCUGGGAGAGCUUCGGGUUCCCGACAGACACGCUCCUGCCGGGGCAAUCUUGGAAGGGGUUUCUCUUCUCCAAGCGCGCGGACACAGAGUUCACCACCGGUCGGUUCAGCCUGGCUGCCCAAAACGACGGUAACGUCGUCCUCUGCGUCGACCUCUUCACCGGGCAUACUGGGAUACGCGCACCAACGGCACCAAUGGCAACACAACUAUCACCUUCGACGAGCGUGGCAACCUCAGCUACACACUCUACGAUGGCACCGUCUACAGCUUGA